AUGUUCAACCAGGCCCUCUUGGCGCGUCAGGCCUGGCGGCUCCUCUCAAAUCCAGACAGUCUCUGUGCACGAGUUCUUAAGGCGUGGUACUACCCAAAUGGAAGCCUUGAGGAUACGGCUUUCUCGGGUGCAUCGGCAACUUGGCAAGGAGUGCAACAUGGCUUGGAGUUAUUGAAAAAGGGCAUGAUAUGACGUGUCGGGAAUGGUAGCUCAAUUCGGAUAUGGCGUGAUAGCUGGAUUCCGAGGAAGGGAGUUGGCAGACCUAUCACACCUUAAGGCCGGUGCAGGAUGAGCAGGGUCACUGAGCUACUUGACAACUACGGCAACUGGCGGCAAGGACUAAUACGGGAGACUUUCUUUCCUGUUGACGCAGAAGAGAUAUUGAAAAUAAAGACCUCACCACGCAUGGAUGACAAUCUUAUUGCUUGGGCGUAUGAGCGGAAUGGAUGCUUCUCGGUACGGAGUGUUUAUCGACUUGCUCUAGAGGAUCGUCUCGGGCCUUCAUCAGUCGCGGCGAGCAGGGCACCGGACGGGCGGCGAGCCGUCUAGGCUUUUAUUCGGAGGUGCCCUGCUCCUCCUAGGGUUCGCACCUUUUUCUGGCGCCUUCUCAUAGAUUGUCUGCCCACACGGGUGAACAAGAAACGUCGAGGACUGGAAAUCUCUGACAUGUGCCCCCUCUGUGCAACUAGACCGCCGGCGAGAUGGGUGCUGCCGCCGGCCGGAUGGACGAAAUUGAACGUCGAUGGUUCUUUCUGUCCGCGUACUGGCUCGGCAGGUGCGGGCAUGGUGCUUCAAGACAGCUCAGGGGCGAUCAUAUUCUCAUCGUGCAGACAAUUUCGUGCGUGCUCGGAUGCACUGGAGGCAGAACUAUCUGCAUGCAUGGAGGGCGUCAACCUUGCACUGCAGUGGACGCAAAUGCCAGUUAUGGUGGAGACUGAUUGCUUGGUCGGCUAUAAUAUGUUAACAGGACCGGAGCGUGAUAGGUCUUGGUAUGCCAUGCUGGUUGACCAAACCAAGAGACUUAUGAGGGAAGGGAGAAAUUGUAAGCUCACUCAUGUAGGAGCAAAAUGGCGUCAGCCACUACCUAGCAAGCUUUGGUUGAGUACAAGAGCGCACUACUGUGUGGCUUGGUUCAGGGCCCGACGAUGUGCCGGACCUUUGUAA
rnacentral:rRNA from 1 species